AAGUAAUUUGACUAAUUUCUGUUCAAUAAAUCAAUAAUCAUUGAUGGAUUGCUGCUGGUUGUUGUUAACUUGUUAAUCAAUAAAUCAAUAAUUUCAGUUUCAUUGUUCUAUAUAUUUGUUGUUUGAUUGUUGAUUGUUGUUCAUUGCUGAUUGUUGUUAUUUUUUGAAAUUGCUAGUAAUUACUAUUGCUGUUCAUUGUUCAUGGUUGAUUGUUAUUCAUUGUUCAUUAUUGAUUGCUGGUUGUUGUUUAUUGUUCAUUACUGAUUUUUUAAUUAUUUGUUCAUUACUGAUUGUUUGAAAUUGUUAGUAAUUAGGUUGAUGAUGGUAGCUAUUUUGUAAAAUAGGUCAAUGUUGUUCUUUUUCCCCCUUAUAAUAUUUGAAAAAAAAACUGCUUUCUGUUUCAGGUUGGGGAGAUUAUUAGCAAAUUUGAGAAGAACAAAUUUUACUUGAAAAGUAACUUCUUUUGUUUUUGUUACUACUUAACAUACGUGCUAACAAUUUAGCUUAGAAACUCCACAAAUUUCUAGUAAUUACAAAGCCUUUCUUUAAUGGAUUGGUCUAAUACAUUAUCUCUGGUUCUAUUGUUGCCACGGUCUGGGAGGGUAAAGGUGUUGUUGCAACUGGCCGAAAGUAGAUUGGAGCAACAAACCCUUUGGCAUCUGAGCUUGGAACUAUUCAUGGUGGUCUUGCAUCGAAUGUGCUUUCCAUAGAUCUUGCCAUUCAUGAUUCAUGGUAGGUUUUCUUAAAGAAGUUUCAUUGUUUUGUUGGAGAGGACACCAAGACGUGACUAUCUGUUGCUGAAAAUUUGUUUUUAUUUUUGUUGUGUUGACUAUUGAACCUUUAAACUUCUUUAAUUGUCGUAUUUUAAUUUUUUUUGUCGUUGAAUUUCAUUGAAUCAAGACUUUUGUUAGUUAUGGUGUACUUGUAUUCUAUAAUUUCAAUGUUAUCACUUUGUGAAAUAGUAUGUGGUUAUUGUU